UCUUGGGACAUAGUGUAAGGCA
rnacentral:miRNA from 1 species